UACGUAGGGACCGAGCGUUGUCCGGAUUCAUUGGGCGUAAAGAGCUCGUAGGCGGUCUGUCGCGUCGGCUGUGAAAACUCGGGGCUCAACUCCGAGCUUGCAGUCGAUACGGGCAGGCUAGAGUUCGGCAGGGGGAGACUGGAAUUCCUGGUGUAGCGGUGAAAUGCGCAGAUAUCAGGAGGAACACCGGUGGCGAAGGCGGGUCUCUGGGCCGAUACUGACGCUGAGGAGCGAAAGCGUGGGGAGCGAACAGG
rnacentral:rRNA from 1 species